rnacentral:rRNA from 1 species
UACGUAGGGUGCAAGCGUUGUCCGGAAUUAUUGGGCGUAAAGAGCUCGUAGGCGGUUUGUCGCGUCUGUUGUGAAAACCCGAGGCUCAACCUCGGGUCUGCAGUGGGUACGGGCAGACUAGAGUGCGGUAGGGGAGAUUGGAAUUCCUGGUGUAGCGGUGGAAUGCGCAGAUAUCAGGAGGAACACCAAUGGCGAAGGCGGCAUCCUGGACCGGAAUUGACGCUGAGGAGCGAAAGCCAGGGGAGCAAACGGG